UGUACUUCGUGUACAACAAGACCAACAACCUGAUCGUAAGCGCCAUCUUCAGCUCGGUGAUAUCGUGCGGCAACGCCUCGCUCGAUUGCCUCAUCACGGAGGUCUUCCCUACCAACUUGCGUGCGACUGGUGUAGCGGUAUCGAUGGUGGCGGCGCGGCUGGGCGGCAUCAUCGGCAACGUGGUGAUCGCGGCGUUGCUGGACACGUACUGCCCCGCGCCCACCUUCAUCGUGGCCGUGCUGCUCGCCGGCGGCGGCCUCAUGUGCCUCUUCCUGCCCAACACCACCCGACAAGCUCUGCAGUAGACGACAAAUAUCGUGCCGCCAUCUUUUUACCACAGAUUAAAACAUUUACCUAUUUUUUUUAUCGGCUACUAAUAACAUAAACGUAAACUGCUAUUUUUAAUAACGUAACGUUUAAAUUAACCGUUAUUUUAUUAACGUUACGUCAUUUUACGCUAUCUUUCAAAGUUGAUAGCAAAUAGCAUUGUAGCUCGGCUAUUUUCAAAAAUUAUGCUUUAUUUCUGCAUUCUUUUUUAAAAUUUUGUUUUAUAGGCACGAUAUUUAAAUUACAUUUGUCUCUGCGGCUCGUCUUGUGAUAAUCGUUUUAAGCAUUUGUCAUUGAACCAGUCUUCAAAUCACUAGAAAGUAACUUUUACUAAGUACUUGUAAAUUAUACUGUUUUAUAUCGAUGCUUUUAAUUUAUAUACUAAUUAAAACAGGCGCUAUAUCUAUAUAUAUCUACAUAAACCAAACAAAUAUCAUUUUAUGUAAUGUAUUUAAUGUUUACUUUUAAAACAGGUUGCAAACAUGUAGUUUUUUAUCAAAAGUAUUAUGUGAUGUGAAAUGCAGCUGUUAACGAGUUACGAAUUUAUAUUAUAAAUUAAAAUAUUGUUGUUGUAGUUUGUAGUUUUUAGUGUAGUCCAGCAUAUGCAGGUAACGUUACCUACAUCUUCAUAAACGUUAUGUUAUAACGGUUUUGCCAAUACGAGUAAAUCAAAAUAGAAACUUAAGUUGAAUGAAAUGUUUCAAUUCACCUAGUAUUAAGUUAUGAAGAUAAAUAAAAAUAUUUUAUUGAA